rnacentral:rRNA from 1 species
GGCCUAAUACAUGCAAGUCGAGCGCGCCCUUCGGGGUGAGCGGCGGACGGGUGAGUAACGCGUGGGAAUAUGCCCUUCUCUAAGGAAUAGCCUCUGGAAACGGAGAGUAAUACCUUAUACGCCCUUUGGGGGAAAGAUUUAUCGGAGAAGGAUUAGCCCGCGUUAGAUAGGUAGUUGGUGGGGUAAUGGCCUACCAAGCCUACGAUCUAUAGCUGGUUUGAGAGGAUGAUCAGCCACACUGGGACUGAGACACGGCCCAGACUCCUACGGGAGGCAGCAGUAGGGAAUCUUAGACAAUGGGGGCAACCCUGAUCUAGCCAUGCCGCGUGUGUGAUGAAGGCCCUAGGGUCGUAAAGCACUUUCGCCAGAGAUGAUAAUGACAGUAUCUGGUAAAGAAACCCCGGCUAACUCCGUGCCAGCAGCCGCGGUAAUACGGAGGGGGUUAGCGUUGUUCGGAAUUACUGGGCGUAAAGCGCACGUAGGCGGAUUAGUAAGUUAGAGGUGAAAUCCCAGGGCUCAACCCUGGAACUGCCUUUAAUACUGCUAGUCUUGAGUUCGAGAGAGGUAAGUGGAAUUCCGAG